GACGAACGCUGGCGGCGUGCUUAACACAUGCAAGUCGAACGAAGAGCGAUGGAAGCUUGCUUCUAUCAAUCUUAGUGGCGAACGGGUGAGUAACGCGUAAUCAACCUGCCCUUCAGAGGGGGACAACAGUUGGAAACGACUGCUAAUACCGCAUACGAUCUAAUCUCGGCAUCGAGGAUAGAUGAAAGGUGGCCUCUACAUGUAAGCUAUCACUGAAGGAGGGGAUUGCGUCUGAUUAGCUAGUUGGAGGGGUAACGGGCCACCAAGGCGAUGAUCAGUAGCCGGUCUGGGAGGAUGAACGGCCACAUUGGGACUGAGACACGGCCCAGACUCCUACGGGAGGCAGCAGUGGGGAAUCUUCCGCAAUGGACGAAAGUCUGACGGAGCAACGCCGCGUGAGUGAUGACGGCCUUCGGGUUGUAAAGCUCUGUUAAUCGGGACGAAAGGCCUUCUUGCGAAUAGUGAGAAGGAUUGACGGUACCGGAAGAGAAAGCCACGGCUAACUACGUG
rnacentral:rRNA from 1 species